GGGAAUGUUGCUGAGUGGUACAGCAACUUGCCUAGUGUGUGAAAGGCCCUGGGUUCAAUCCCCAGUACUGCCA
rnacentral:tRNA from 1 species